GCGCUCCUCAUCUCUGAUUGGAUGAUGCCGCUACCGUAGAGCGGCGGCUGGGGAGAGAGGCGUGGCUUAGUCAAAUUCUGCUUUGUGAUUGGCUGGCGGCCUGACCUCGCGGCCUAUAGAAGGCGGCUCCCGGGAAGGGGCGGGACUAACGGUGCUGAGGCGAAGGAAAAAGGCGGGAAGGCGCCGGAGAUCCUGAGGGGAUUUUGCCGCUUUUCCCUCUUUUGGCAGCAGAAAAUCAAUUCAGCGCCUCAAAUCUUAAUAAAAUAGAGCAGGAAACCUUAAACUUCAGAGAGAACUUCAGUCCUGCAGCAUGAGUGAGGCAGAGAGAAGACACCGUGGUGCGGGCGUUCCUCUGCAGGGUCUCUGACGAGGACCUGCUGGCCAUGGCACGGCUGUCUGCCCACGAGCGAUGCGACCCGCGGCCCUGUGAGUCCUUAAUUAGGGCCUUAACGAAGCCCGGCCUUAAUUAGGGCCCUAGCACCCUCCCAGCCAAGUAGGGGUCCUAAUGAUGCCCCCAGUAAUUAAGUGGGGGUCCUAAUGAAUCCCCUUAAUGAACUGGGGGGCUCUAAUUAAGCAAGGAACCCUAAUGAUGCUUCCGCUAAUGAAGUGCGAGGCCUUAAUGAUGCUCCUGCUAAUGAGGUGGGGGCCCUAAUGAUGUUCCCAAUAAUGAGGUGGGGGCUCUAAUGAUGCUCCCCCAAUCAAUUUGGGCCCUUUUGGGUAGCAAUUUGCCUUUUUUUUUGCUUUGGCCCCAAAUUUUGCCCAUUUUUUUCUUAUUUUUAACCCUAAAUCGUCUCCUUUUUGAUUUUGGCCCAGAAUUGGGCUUUUCUUUUUUUUCAUUUUUGCUCCUAAAUUUGGCCUUUUUUUUUGUUUUGUCCCAAAAUUGGCCUUUUUUUGUGCUUUUGGCCCAAAACCCCCUGGAACUGGGGCUGCUCCACACCUGAUUUGGGGUAAAACCUGCUGGAACUGGGGCUGCUCCACACCCUCUUUGCCUUUUCUUUGGUUUUUACUGAGCCAAUUUUGUUUUUUUUUAACCCCAGCCCCGUUUCUGCUCACAAGCGUCUGCUUCCUGCUGUCCCAGCUGCUGCUUUGGGGUGAUAUCUUCUCCGUUUUUUUAUCGUUUCCCUUCUAUUUCUCACCCAAACCCUUCCAAACUGCCCCGAAUCUCCCCUUUCCUCCCCGAGGCUCCUCCUGCCUCCCCAGUUUUGGGAGAGAAAUGUAAAAAAAUGGGCAAAAAACCCGUAGAAAAUGGGCA